ACCAAUUUCGCGGUUUCAGUUGACUGGCUACUCUGACCUAGAGUAACCCGUCAAUGAAUUUACAAACAAAAUACGCGUGGCUCUGUUGGAAUGAGGUUAAUCCGGUUAAUUGCAAGGACGGACAUAUCAGGAGAUAAUGCAGCUCAUCACCCAGGUCAUUCGAGGGGCAGAGCGGGCACCUUCUUUCGUUGUGUGGCACAUGACUUUGCGACCAUCUUCCAACCUCAAUAGGGAACCUAUGAUUGCCAGUUCGGAAAUGGAAUAAUGAUAAGCGCUGGGAACAUGAAUACAGCGAGUUGUUUUAGAUGUACUAGGCAACAGGAAACAUUUAUCACACAGGAACACUAUCCCCGGCUGCUCCUAGCACGAGGAUACGUCUGGGGAGAUUGGACAGCCAGUUGAGUGCGGGGUACCAGAAUUACCUGCGGAGCCAGUGGUCUCAGGCCCCGUAGCGCUAGACAUUUCCGGUUUCUGUGGCUCUGGGAGAUGCUCCUGCAACGGGGCAUGAACUGCCGUUAGAUAACCGGGUGCGGAACUUGAAAUGUCGGGAUUCUUGAUUUCCUCAGUUGCUUUUGGGGAGUUAUGGUUGACAA